UUCCUUGGCUCAGUCGGUAGAGCAUGAGACUUUUAAUCUCUGGGUUGUGGGUUUGAGCCCCACAUUGGGCAAAA